GUCUUGGUGGUGGAUUUGGUACCGUGCUUGCUUUCUGUAUGCGAAGGUCCAAUUCAAGCGGGAGUUCCUCGUUCGAUUCGAGGCCAGGUCA